rnacentral:lncRNA from 1 species
UUUAUUUAUAUUUAUUCUUAAUUUUUGUGAGUACAUGUGUAGGUUUAUAUGUUUAUAGCAUUUGUGGUUUAUUUUUUGAAAGAAAUAUUUUUCUCUUCUACAAGCAGCUUCUGAAAGACGAAGAUGAAGAUUACAUGAUUCCUAGGAGGAGAAGGAGGCCCCGGGUCAGCUCAGCUGGGCCUGACCACCAUCAUCAGGCCAAGGAAGAGAAAAUGGCAUGGAACCCUUUCUCAGGAAUGAGACUCUUCUGCUACCUUUGUGAGUCCCUCCCUCAGUCCCAGCACCAAAAUCUUCCCUCCAGAUACUCACUGCAACCUGUCCUGAAAUGAUUGUUGCUGAAUUAUUUUUACUUC